UAUGGCGAUAUCAAGUUGAAACACAAGUUCUUGUAUGAUUACCGAGGUGAAGCAACGUUGAACAAGGUCAGUACUAAGAUGGGUGACCGCUUGGGAAUACCAUGUGUU